rnacentral:rRNA from 1 species
GGGGAAUAUUGCACAAUGGGCGCAAGCCUGAUGCAGCGACGCCGCGUGGGGGAUGACGGCCUUCGGGUUGUAAACCCCUUUCAGCACAGACGAAGCGCAAGUGACGGUAUGUGCAGAAGAAGCACCGGCCAACUACGUGCCAGCAGCCGCGGUAAUACGUAGGGUGCGAGCGUUGUCCGGAAUUACUGGGCGUAAAGAGCUCGUAGGUGGUUUGUCGCGUUGUUCGUGAAAACUCACAGCUCAACUGUGGGCGUGCGGGCGAUACGGGCAGACUGGAGUACUGCAGGGGAGACUGGAAUUCCUGGUGUAGCGGUGGAAUGCGCAGAUAUCAGGAGGAACACCGGUGGCGAAGGCGGGUCUCUGGGCAGUAACUGACGCUGAGGAGCGAAAGCGUGGGGAGCGAAC